GUGGGGAAUAUUGGACAAUGGGGGCAACCCUGAUCCAGCCAUGCCGCGUGUGUGAAGAAGGCCUUCGGGUUGUAAAGCACUUUAAGCGGGGAGGAAGGUUCGCUGGCUAAUAUCCAGCGGAAUUGACGUUACCUGCAGAAUAAGCACCGGCUAACUCUGUGCCAGCAGCCGCGGUAAUACAGAGGGUGCAAGCGUUAAUCGGAAUUACUGGGCGUAAAGCGCGCGUAGGCGGUUGUGUAAGUUGGAGGUGAAAUCCCCGGGCUUAACCUGGGCACUGCCUUCAAAACUGCACGGCUAGAGUAUGGGAGAGGAAGGUAGAAUUCCAGGUGUAGCGGUGAAAUGCGUAGAGAUCUGGAGGAAUACCGAUGGCGAAGGCAGCCUUCUGGCCUAAUACUGACGCUGAGGUGCGAAAGCAUGGGGAGCAAACAGGAUUAGAAACCCCAGUAGUCC
rnacentral:rRNA from 1 species